UACAGAGGGGGCAAGCGUUGUUCGGAAUUACUGGGCGUAAAGGGCGCGUAGGCGGCCUUCUAAGUCGAACGUGAAAUCCCCAGGCUCAACCCGGGAACUGCGUCCGAUACUGGAGGGCUUGAAUCCGGGAGAGGGAUGCGGAAUUCCAGGUGUAGCGGUGAAAUGCGUAGAUAUCUGGAGGAACACCGGUGGCGAAGGCGGCAUCCUGGACCGGUAUUGACGCUGAGGCACGAAGGCCAGGGGAGCAAACGGG
rnacentral:rRNA from 1 species